rnacentral:tRNA from 1 species
UGAGGCUUGGCCAAGCGGUAAGGCAUCGCACUUUGAAUGCGACGAUCGCAGGUUCGAAUCCUGCAGCCUCAGCCA